rnacentral:rRNA from 1 species
UGAGGAAGUAAAAGUCGUAACAAGGUCUCCGUUGGUGAACCAGCGGAGGGAUCAUUACUGAGUUUACGCUCUACAACCCUUUGUGAACAUACCUAUAACUGUUGCUUCGGCGGGUAGGGUCUCCGUGACCCUCCCGGCCUCCCGCCCCCGGGCGGGUCGGCGCCCGCCGGAGGAUAACCAAACUCUGAUUUAACGACGUUUCUUCUGAGUGGUACAAGCAAAUAAUCAAAACUUUUAACAACGGAUCUCUUGGUUCUGGCAUCGAUGAAGAACGCGCGAAAGGCGAUAAGUAAUGUGAAUUGCAGAAUUCAGUGAAUCAUCGAAUCUUUGAACGCACAUUUCGCCCGCCAGCAUUCUGGCGGGCAUGCCUGUUCGAGCGUCAUUUCAACCCUCAAGCUCUGCUUGGUGUUGGGGCCCUACAGCUGAUGUAGGCCCUCAAAGGUAGUGGCGGACCCUCCCGGAGCCUCCUUUGCGUAGUAACUUUACGUCUCGCACUGGGAUCCGGAGGGACUCUUGCCGUAAAACCCCCAAUUUUCCAAAGGUUGACCUCGGAUCAGGUAGGAAUACCCGCUGAACUUAAGCAUAUCAA